rnacentral:tRNA from 1 species
GGGGGUAUAGCUCAGCUGGGAGAGCAUCUGCCUUACAAGCAGAGGGUCAUAGGUUCGAGCCCUAUUGCCCCCACCA